rnacentral:rRNA from 1 species
GAUGAACGCUGGCGGCGUGCCUAACACAUGCAAGUCGAGCGAUUCUCUUCGGAGAAGAGCGGCGGACGGGUGAGUAACGCGUGGGUAACCUGCCCUGUACACACGGAUAACAUACCGAAAGGUAUGCUAAUACGGGAUAACAUGUUUUGAUCGCAUGGUCGAAAUAUCAAAGCUCCGGCGGUACAGGAUGGACCCGCGUCUGAUUAGCUAGUUGGUAAGGUAAUGGCUUACCAAGGCGACGAUCAGUAGCCGACCUGAGAGGGUGAUCGGCCACAUUGGAACUGAGGCACGGUCCAAACUCCUACGGGAGGCAGCAGUGGGGAAUAUUGCACAAUGGGCGAAAGCCUGAUGCAGCAACGCCGCGUGAGCGAUGAAGGCCUUCGGGUCGUAAAGCUCUGUCCUCAAGGAAGAUAAUGACGGUACUUGAGGAGGAAGCCCCGGCUAACUACGUGCCAGCAGCCGCGGUAAUACGUAGGGGGCUAGCGUUAUCCGGAAUUACUGGGCGUAAAGGGUGCGUAGGUGGUUUCUUAAGUCAGAGGUGAAAGGCUACGGCUCAACCGUAGUAAGCCUUUGAAACUGAGAGACUUGAGUGCAGGAGAGGAGAGUAGAAUUCCUAGUGUAGCGGUGAAAUGCGUAGAUAUUAGGAGGAAUACCAGUUGCGAAGGCGGCUCUCUGGACUGUAACUGACACUGAGGCACGAAAGCGUGGGGAGCAAACAGG